UCCGAGUUCGAGCUUGCCGAGCACUUGUGUCGUGAGCAGAACGCGCCCGCCUAUCGCCUUGUUGUGGUCGAAAUCGCGGUAACUCUCGACGGGACCGCGGCCGUUCGAGAUCGUGAGGUGAUAGCCGAUGUUCAUCGCCCGCAGGUCGACGCUUCCCGCGAGCUCGAGGCCGGUCUGCGCCUCCGGAAAAAACGCCUCGCCGAUGACGUAAGGACGCCGGACCGGGAUGACGACGGGAGAGCCGUGAUCGACGUUCCAGAUACCCCAUGGGGUGAGGAAGCGGCCAGCGCGAAUCCGCAGGUAAUCUCCAAUGCCAUAGUCGAGCUGCGCCCGCUCGAUGCGAAUGCCACCCCACUGCAUCGGCCUGUCGA
rnacentral:misc_RNA from 1 species